GACGAACGCUGGCGGCGUGCUUAACACAUGCAAGUCGAGCGACGCUCUUCCUUCGGGGAGAUGACGGAGCGGCGAACGGGUGAGUAACACGUGGGCAACCUGCCCCUAGCUCUGGGACAACACCGGGAAACCGGUGCUAAUACCGGAUACGACAUCGAGCGGCAUCUCUCGAUGUGGAAAGUUUUUUCGGCUAGGGAUGGGCCCGCGGCCUAUCAGCUUGUUGGUGGGGUAAUGGCCCACCAAGGCGACGACGGGUAGCCGGCCUGAGAGGGCGACCGGCCACACUGGGACUGAGACACGGCCCAGACUCCUACGGGAGACAGCAGUGGGGAAUAUUGCGCAAUGGGCGAAAGCCUGACGCAGCGACGCCGCGUGAGGGAUGACGGCCUUCGGGUUGUAAACCUCUUUCAGCAGGGACGAAUUCAGACGGUACCUGCAGAAGAAGCACCGGCCAACUACGUG
rnacentral:rRNA from 1 species